UGGAGGGUGAAUGUAAUUAUAUAUAUACAGGAUUUCUUAAAUUGGAUCGAGUGGGAAUCAAAGAUGACCUCAGAAUCUUAGGAUUGAAUAUCACAAUGGAUGGUUAGAAUAUAUUGUCUUAAUUGGAUCUAUGCUAAAAUGCACCCUCAUCUAGCUUCUCUGAGUGAUUUGACAGAUUUACACACACAUGGAUAUGGAAUACAUAUAGAUACUAGUUUGGAACCUGCGCAAUGCGGUGAUGGUCAUGGCGGUGACGAUGUGGUGGUGGAGGCGACUGUUAGUGAUAGAGACGGCGUGGAGUAGUAAAGAUACUUGAUGUAAAACUAAUUGAUAUACAGAGUUA